CUUUUAUGAAAGUAGAAAAAGAAUACACUUCAUGGUCCAGAUAUUUUAUAUCAAAGUGGUAAUAGAACAUGUCCAACUUGUCAACCACAAAAAAAAAAAAAAAAAAAAAACACCAACCGGGGAGCCCUUCUUCUGGUUCUCCUCUCUUAAAUCAAAUUUUGAACUAGCUGCUGAUAGAAUCUGCUUUUGAAGGUCAUAGGAUGUAAGGG
rnacentral:misc_RNA from 1 species